ACGGGAGGCAGCAGUGAGGAAUAUUGGUCAAUGGAGGCAACUCUGAACCAGCCAUCUCGCGUGAAGGAAUACGGCCCUAUGGGUCUUAAACUUCUUUUAUAGGGGGAUAAAGUGAGAUACGCGUAUCUUUUUGUAGGUACCCUAUGAAUAAGCAUCGGCUAACUCCGCGCCAGCAGCCGCGGUAAUACGGAGGAUGCGAGCGUUAUCCGGAUUUAUUGGGUUUAAAGGGUGCGCAGGCGGCACGUUAAGUCAGCGGUGAAAUGCAGGGGCUCAACCCCGGCACUGCCGUUGAAACUGGCGAGCUCGAGUACGGAUGAAGUCGGCGGAAUGUGAUGUGUAGCGGUGAAAUGCUUAGAUAUGUCACAGAACACCGAUUGCGAAGGCAGCUGACUAAUCCGCAACUGACGCUGAGGCUCGAAGGUGCGGGUAUCAAACAGGAUUAGAUACCCUUGUA
rnacentral:rRNA from 1 species